rnacentral:rRNA from 1 species
CCUACGGGUGGCAGCAGUGGGGAAUAUUGCACAAUGGGCGCAAGCCUGAUGCAGCCAUGCCGCGUGUGUGAAGAAGGCCUUCGGGUUGUAAAGCACUUUCAGCGGGGAGGAAGGCGGUGAGGUUAAUAACCUCAUCGAUUGACGUUACCAGCAGAAGAAGCACCGGCUAACUCCGUGCCAGCAGCCGCGGUAAUACGGAGGGUGCAAGCGUUAAUCGGAAUUACUGGGCGUAAAGCGCACGCAGGCGGUCUGUCAAGUCGGAUGUGAAAUCCCCGGGCUCAACCUGGGAACUGCAUUCGAAACUGGCAGGCUAGAGUCUUGUAGAGGGGGGUAGAAUUCCCGGUGUAGCGGUGAAAUGCGUAGAGAUCUGGAGGAAUACCGGUGGCGAAGGCGGCCCCCUGGACAAAGACUGACGCUCAGGUGCGAAAGCGUGGGGAGCAAACAGGAUUAGAUACCCCAGUAGUC